GACGAACGCUGGCGGCGUGCUUAACACAUGCAAGUCGAACGAAGUGGCGAACGGGUGAGUAACGCGUAAUCAACCUGCCCUUCAGAGGGGGACAACAGUUGGAAACGACUGCUAAUCCCGCAUACUGAAGGAGGGGAUUGCGUCUGAAUAGAUAGUUGGGGGGGUCACGGCCCACCAAGGCGAUGAUCAGUAGCCGGUCUGAGCGGAUGAACGGCACCACUGGGACUGAGACACUGCCCAGACUCCUAAGGGAGGCAGCAGUGGGGAAUCUUCCGCAAUGGACGAAAGUCUGGCGGAGCAACGCCGCGGGAGUGAUGACGGCCUUCGGGUUGGAAAGCUCUGUUAAUCGGGACGCGGUACCGGAAUAGAAAGCCACGGCUAACUACGUGCCAGCAGCCGCGGUAAUUC
rnacentral:rRNA from 1 species